GGGAAAAUUUUACAGUAUAUUUUGGUCUUGAUGUAACCUUGCUGUAGCCAUUGCUGUAAUGUGCCAGGUGUACUUGCAAUAAUCAGUGAAAGUGCGCCAACGUCAAAUCACACAGACAGAGGGAGAGCACAACUCUUGGCUGCAGCUGAAGGAGGACGAUUGAUUUCUGUCAGUUCGUCUUACCAUUGCUUGUAAGCUGGAUUGGGUAAGAUGGAUCAUCUUUAAAGGCACCAGGAGUUAAGGCAGAUGUGGAGGCACAAUGGGUGACACCAGACACACACCAAGCACAUUGUUCGGACAUUCAAUCAUGACAUGAUCCAUGUGGAUGCUGUCCAUUGAGGAAAGAGUUUGUUCCGAGGUUUCUGGAUAGAAUUAAUUCCAAAGAUGGGAAAAAGUGCACAUCCAGACAAGGAGCAAGCAAAAAGACAAGGAACUUGGUGCAGAGAAAAGCUGUGGCCAUUAACCCCCAUGUGAACAGCUUCAUGCAGUCCCUGAUUGAGUUCGAAUGGACGACUUCAAAGUAAAGGCCACUGUGGUCUGUCUGCCACAGUUUAAUGCAUUUAUUUUUAGUGUUAAAUGAAAUUCAAGUAGAAUAUUUAAAACUAUGGGCCAGUGUUCUUUUUACCACAGUGAAAUGUUACCUUUUAGUCGAUGAUGGACUUUAAACUGAAAACUUCAAACUAGGGAACAGUGUUCUAUUUGCCAGAGUUAAAUAUGUUACAGCAGGGGUCUCCAAACUUGUUUAUACUUGUUGAUUUUAUUUUAUGUUACUUGAUUAUAUGUUUAUUAUUGUUUAAAAUCUUGUUUUAAAUGUUUUGUUUCAAUUAAAUGUUUUUUUAAAUAAAAUUUUGAUACAAACAUUGCUUGGAUUGCCUUUUAAUUCAUUAUGUCAUGUCAAGGAUAGCAUUUUUACCAUAUUAAUAACUAUAGAUUUAAACCUAAAUCUCUAUCUAUUUUAUAUAAUAUUAUUGUAUUAACUGUAAUAAGUAAUAAAUAGUAUUUAUGGGUCAAUAUAGACAUUACAGUAAAUUACUGUAAAAAUAGACUACUGUAAUAAAAUAUUGUAAAAUUACAGUACAGUACUGCUUUGUAACUAUACAGUACUAGUUUGUGUACUGUAAAAUGGUAUUACAGUACAGUACUGUAAACCCAAAAUACAGUAACUUACUGGCAACCGUGCUGCCAGUACCGUACUGUA